GCCUCGGUAGCUCAGCUAGCAGAGCAGCAGACUUGUAAUCUGCAGGUCGGGGGUGCAAAUCCCUCCCGGGGCU
rnacentral:tRNA from 1 species